rnacentral:sRNA from 1 species
CGAUCUGCUGCGGGCUGAUCCAAUGGAUAUGGGCGUCGAUCCCGCCUGCGGUGAGAAUGCGCCCUUCACCCGCAAUCGCCUCGGUGCCAGGGCCGACGAUGAUGUCGACAUCCGGUUGCACGUCGGGAUUGCCGGCUUUGCCGAUGGCCGAGAUACGCCCGUCGACGAUACCGACAUCCGCCUUGAUGAUGCCCCAGUGAUCGACAAUCAGCGCAUUGGUGAUGACGGUAUCGACGGCGCCGUCGGCGCGGCUGACUUGCGACUGCCCCAUACCGUCGCG